UCGGCCAGAGGAUAUCUAGAGUCACCAAAGCCGCCAUCGCCCGCCCCCCGGCCGGAGCCGGGAGGGAGCUUACCGGGUUGGUUUUGAUCUGAUAAAUGCAUGCAUUCCCCCCCCCCGGGAGGGGGAGGGCAGCGCCCGGCU